UUUUUUUUUUUUGGAACAGAGACGUGGUCUCCUCAAUGAUUAUCAGACCUGCUUAGUUAAGUUAUUUUUCUUUUCCUAAUUUUUAUAUAUCAGCUCUCUGCAUCUAUUUGACAUAUAUAAUGCAUAUGCAGUCUAAUUUUGUUUUGAGGUAACGCUUUGGAUUUCAUGGUAUUUUUACUUAUAUUAAGCUGGAUCACAAAAUUGGCUUUCGUUCUUAUAAGCUUGCCCGGCCAUCGCACUGAAGUCUGAAUCUGAAUGGUGCCUCUCACAAUUCCAUUGUGGUUGGUUAAAGCUUCACACAUUCACAUGUGUAAGCCUUAGGGCAGAGAAACUCUAUUAUAGGCUAACUGGAUGGGGUUCUUUUUUCUUUUGAUAAGCAACAACCAGCCAAAGCCUGGAAAGAUUACAAAAUUGU
rnacentral:misc_RNA from 1 species